rnacentral:SRP_RNA from 1 species
CCGUACUACAUGGGGAGUUAGCGGUGCCUUGUAACCUGCAAUCCGCUAUAGCAGGAUGGAUGCCCAUUGGAGGGUAAUCAAUCUCUUGGUCUGCCCGAAAGAAGUAGUGAUGACGGAUGGGUCUUGCGCAACAAGAAGCUAUGAACCUCGUCAGGUCCGGGAGGAAGCAGCGAUAAAUAGUCCCUCUUUGUGUGCCGCAGGGUAGCCUGUCCCGAGCCAACUGGUUCGGUAACGCAGGAGAGCGUGCAUUCGAAUUUGGGCGUAC